rnacentral:rRNA from 1 species
UACGUAGGGUGCGAGCGUUGUCGGGAAUUAUUGGGCGUAAAGAGCUCGUAGGCGGUUCGUCGCGUCGAAUGUGAAAACCCGGGGCUCAACUCCGGGCCUGCAUUCGAUACGGGCGGACUAGAGUUCGGUAGGGGAGACUGGAAUUCCUGGUGUAGCGGUGAAAUGCGCAGAUAUCAGGAGGAACACCGGUGGCGAAGGCGGGUCUCUGGGCCGAUACUGACGCUGAGGAGCGAAAGCGUGGGGAGCGAACAGG